AUGAACUGGAGCUCCUUCGACAUCGGCGAGUACCAUGUGGCCGUCGCGCAGUGGUGCCGGGGCGAACGCGGCCACGCAGACCGGCGAGAGACGCCGUCGGCACCGGGGCCCAGAGCCGUCUCCGCCACAAGAGCCUACGACGGAGCUCGAAGACGACGAGAUCACGUUGCCGCCAUCCUCCAGCAGCCCCGACACGCUGGAGACGCUCAUCGAGAACGAUGCCUGCGUGGUUGCCGCCUCGAACACCGUCGCCGCUCGCCGGGAGGAAGAGAAUGCGGACCUGGUGCAGCAGAGCGUGAUCACGGGCGGCCGGAUGAGCGCGUCGACGGUGCUGAUGCAGUUCGUCUCCUGCGCUGGCCAAGCGGGACGCCGGUCAGUGCGGUGCGAGGCACACAGAGCGGUUCUCGCACUGGGCAGUCGGACUUGAGUAGGAGCAUGGCAUCAGAUGGCUUCUCGGGAAGCAUCGGCGUCCGUGUAGGCAUGGAGUGGGAGUACUUCUGCGGCAGCCUGGUCGAGACCAUGAAGACGGCAAGCGGCGAGCAUGCCGGCCACGGAGGCGAGCUGGGCGCACUGAAGACGCGAAGUGCACGGCCAUAA
rnacentral:rRNA from 1 species